AACUGACAUGCAAGUGUGUUGGAAGCGUUUCCAGGCUAAAUAGAAUACGAAAAGAUGUUUAUAUGUCAUUUCGACACAAAUAAAUAUUAAUAAAUGACAUGUUCAUGUUUGAAAGUCUCCAGGUUUUGACAUCAAUGCUGAUUUAAAUAAUCAUUAUGUAUUUUCAAAU